AUGACAAGCACUUUGAAAAGAGGGUGAAAAGAGCCUGAAACCGUCACGGGGGAAGCGGAUCGCGUUGGAUUGAUGGGCGCUUGCGUGUUCAGCCCUUUUGGGUGCAUUGGCGCAAGUUGCUUAUCCGCUGUGAGUUUUCGGGGGUCGAUUUUGGACCCCUGGGGACUGAGGGCUCCCUUUUAUAGGUUGAGGACAGCGGAGUGACGACGCGAUACGACCCGUCUUGAAACACGGACCAAGGAGUCUAGCGCGGGUGCGAGUCGGAGGGUGCAAGCCCGUGGGCGAAGUGAAAGCGAGUGUAAAAACGAGCAGUUUGGGGCGGCAUAAGAUCGUUGAUCUUAAGACCGACCCAGAGCAGUUGCGCUGGGACCCGAAAGAUGGUGAACUAUGCCGGAGUAGGGCAAAGCCAGAGGAAACUCUGGUGGAGGCUCGUAGCGGUGCUGACGUGCAAAUCGCUCGUCGAACUUGGGUAUAGGGGCGAAAGACUAAUCGAACCAUCUAGUAGCUGGUUCCCUCCGAAAUUUCUCUCAGGAUAGCGGGCCGACAAGUUGUUUUGUGC
rnacentral:rRNA from 1 species